ensembl:lncRNA
CUCAUGGGCCUAUUGUGAGGUAAUACAUGUGGAACUCAGUACAAUGCCUACAACAGUCUAAGCCAUCAUCAAAAGACACCAUGAAAGUGUUCAAAGCAAUGGGAUGAAAAGGUAUCUGUUCACUUCAGGUAGGAACCCAAGCCACCUGAAGCUGCUCCGGGAGGGCCCAUUGUCUUUCUUCCUACAGAUACCCAAAAGACAUGAACUUCCUCAAAACCCUACUUAACGCUUCACUCAGGAUUGCCCAUAAUCUACCCUGCCCACCUGUGGCCCCCAAACAGGGACUAUAAUCUUGACGGGGUCCAUCUGGCUGAGGUCCUCCUCUUUACCGAUACCUGGAGGGAUUCUUCACUGAGGACCAGAAGUUAGAGACAACAGAACUACUUGUUGGCUAAGAAAUAAACUCACACCGUGGGAUGAGCUAUGNUGAAUGGUGUAUCAAUAUUGCACACCCCUGGACACACACACACACCAAUGAUAAGGAAUGAGUUUUCAUGAGGAUAAAUCAUCAGAUACAUCGGAUAAAUUCAUGCAGGCUGCUUACAACGGUGUCCGGCGCAAAGCAAGUUCCAGGAGGCCUUGGGGACUCUGUGGCGGCUCACAACCAAGGGGCCUGAGGACAAUUCCCCACUGCGCCUUGUGCCAAGUCUUGUUUCACCUUCCUCCACGCUGGAAUCAUCUCUCUGAAGUGAAACCAGGUAUUUAUUGCUUGCCACCCUGUCCCCUCCUCCCCCUUGGAGCCCUGGUGCGCGCUACCCAGGCCAGUGACAUCACCAGGAGAGGCAGAUGUGCUUGUUCGGGCAAGGGGAUGACGCCAAGGGAGGGGUGAAAGGUGCCUCCAGGUCCCUGUUUCCCCUGCCAGGUCAUUCUGGCACAUGGCAUCACAGGGGACGGCGGGGGGUGGGUGGGGAGGAGAAGUAGGUCUGAGUAGAUAAGGAUGGAGCUGUGUGGGGGGACUCAGACCCAGUGCAGGGGCAGGCAUGGAUCUCAGGAAAGCAAGGAGAGAAACGAGCAGUUUUAUUUAAGAGAGAUCUCUCUCUGGGAUCUCUGGGUGGCUCAGCGGUUGAGUAUCUGCCUUUGGCCCAGGGCCUAAUCCUGGAGACCUGGAAUCGAAUCCCAUAUCGGGCUCCCUGCAUGGAGCCUGCUUCUCCCUCUGCCUGUGUCUCUGUCUCCCUCUCUCUCUCUCUGUGUCUCUCUCCUCUNCACGACAGGAAAUAAGGAGAGCCAGUACAUGGCUGUCACAGGAGGGACAGAGCGCUGAGUCUAGUUGGUGACAGUGGGGAAGGAGCAGAAGGACCGGUGAGCCCAACUGUAAAGGAAGAAUUGGCCAGACUUGGUGACCACUUAGGUGCCAGCGGCAGGGAGGGGUAGAGAAUCCUGGGUGGCCUGUGGUCUCUAGAAUAACGGAUGGGAAAGUGUUUGACUGACUGUGACAAGCUCUAUGCUGCCAAAGGGGUCAUUUUGCACAGGAAGACCUCACAAAGAAAAGGGGAAAAUUGUAGUGUUGGUUGCUUCCUUCGAACAUAGAUUGCACCCCAUAGCAGGAGCUGGCAGGUCCAGACUGCGGGCAGAUGGGGGUCUGGUUUUGAGGUACUCCCAUUCAAGCUGGGGAGGUAGGCCCUUUGGCUGAGGGGGCCCCGUACUUCCUGCCUUGACCAGGCUUGGUCGCAAACCAGGGAGGACCUGAGCUUCCCCCAGGGAAGAGACCUCCAGGCCAGCCUGAGUUGCCACCUCCUCUCAGUCUUCGACCCUUCCCCAGAGGCACUGGGGUGACCUGUAGCUUCAGAUUACAGUUACUGGCUUAUCAAGGCAUUUGUCAGCUGGUUGCU